GGAUUGUGGCUUAGUGGUAGAGCACUUUCCUAGCACAUGUGUGGCACUGGGUUCAAUCCUCAGCACCA
rnacentral:tRNA from 1 species